UGGGGAAUAUUGGACAAUGGGCGGAAGCCUGAUCCAGCCAUGCCGCGUGUGUGAAGAAGGCCUUUUGGUUGUAAAGCACUUUAAGCGAGGAGGAGGCUACUUGGAUUAAUACUCUAGGAUAGUGGACGUUACUCGCAGAAUAAGCACCGGCUAACUCUGUGCCAGCAGCCGCGGUAAUACAGAGGGUGCGAGCGUUAAUCGGAUUUACUGGGCGUAAAGCGUGCGUAGGCGGCUUCUUAAGUCGGAUGUGAAAUCCCUGAGCUUAACUUAGGAAUUGCAUUCGAUACUGGGAAGCUAGAGUAUGGGAGAGGAUGGUAGAAUUCCAGGUGUAGCGGUGAAAUGCGUGGAGAUCUGGAGGAAUACCGAUGGCGAAGGCAGCCAUCUGGCCUAAUACUGACGCUGAGGUACGAAAGCAUGGGGAGCAAACAGG
rnacentral:rRNA from 1 species